rnacentral:rRNA from 1 species
CCUACGGGAGGCAGCAGUGAGGAAUAUUGGUCAAUGGCCGGAAGGCUGAACCAGCCAUGCCGCGUGAAGGUCAGUGCCCUAUGGGCGUUAAACUUCUUUUGUCGGGGAACAAAGGCGUCCACGGGUGGGCGGAUGAGUGUACCCGAAGAAAAAGCAUCGGCUAACUCCGUGCCAGCAGCCGCGGUAAUACGGAGGAGGCGAGCGUUAUCCGGAUUUAUUGGGUUUAAAGGGUGCGUAGGCGGACAGUCAAGUCAGCGGUAAAAAUGCGGUGCUCAACGCCGUACAGCCGUUGAAACUGGCAGUAUUGAGUGGGCGAGAAGUAUGCGGAAUGCGUGGUGUAGCGGUGAAAUGCAUAGAUAUCACGCAGAACUCCGAUUGCGAAGGCAGCAUACCGGCGCCCUACUGACGCUGAGGCACGAAAGCGUGGGUAUCGAACAGGAUUAGAUACCCGAGUAGUC